CAGGACGGAAAGACCCCAUGGAGCUUUACUGCAGUUUGAUAUUGAGUAUCUGUACCACAUGUACAGGAUAGGUAGGAGCCAUUGACUUCGGGACGCCAGUUUCGAAUGAGGCGUUGUUGGGAUACUACCCUUGUGUUAUGGCUACUCUAACCCAGAUAGGUUAUCCCUAUCGGAGACAGUGUCUGACGGGCAGUUUGACUGGGGCGGUCGCCUCCUAAAGAGUAACGGAGGCGCCCAAAGGUUCCCUCAGAUUGGUUGGAAAUCAAUCGCAGAGUGUAAAGGUAUAAGGGAGCUUGACUGCGAGAGCUACAACUCGAGCAGGGACGAAAGUCGGGCUUAGUGAUCCGGUGGUACCGAAUGGAAGGGCCAUCGCUCA
rnacentral:rRNA from 1 species